rnacentral:rRNA from 1 species
UGCCAGCCGCCGCGGUAAUACGAAGGGACCUAGCGUAGUUCGGAAUUACUGGGCUUAAAGAGUUCGUAGGUGGUUGAAAAAGUUAGUGGUGAAAUCCCAGAGCUUAACUCUGGAACUGCCAUUAAAACUUUUCAGCUAGAGUAUGAUAGAGGAAAGCAGAAUUUCUAGUGUGGAGGUGAAAUUCGUAGAUAUUAGAAAGAAUACCAAUUGCGAAGGCAGCUUUCUGGAUCAUUACUGACGCUGAGGAACGAAAGCAUAGGUAGCAAAUGGGAUUAGAUA